GUGGGGAAUAUUGGGCAAUGGGGGAAACCCUGACCCAGCGACGCCGCGUGAGGGAAGAAGGCCUUAGGGUCGUAAACCUCUGUUGUGUGGGAAGAAGAGCGUGACGGUACCACACGAGGAAGUCCCGGCUAACUACGUGCCAGCAGCCGCGGUAAUACGUAGGGGACGAGCGUUGUCCGGAUUUACUGGGCGUAAAGGGCGCGUAGGCGGUCAUUUAAGUCAGCUGUGAAAUGGUUUGGCUUAACCGGAUCAUGCGGUUGAAACUGGAUGACUGGAGUGCUGGAGAGGCAAGUGGAAUUCCCAGUGUAGCGGUGAAAUGCGUAGAUAUUGGGAAGAACACCAGUGGCGAAGGCGACUUUCUGGACGAUGUCUGACGCUGAGGCGCGAAAGCUAGGGGAGCGAACGGGAUUAGAAACCCGAGUAGUCC
rnacentral:rRNA from 1 species